AGUAUGGGCAGGGCAGAGGAAAAAGGAAAAAUGGGAAACCCCCAUGGACUUAGGGCCCCCACAAAGAGAAACCAUGUGCCUUCUCCCCACUUCCCUUCUGGCUUGGGCAAAUGAGGCUCCCUUUAGGGGUAGAGGUACUCUACAGGGGCUAUGUUCCCUUUAGGGGUAGAGGUAGUCUACAGGGGCCAGCUGGGCAGAGAUGAAAUCUUGCAAAGGAACCCUUCUUACACUCGAAAAGCAAGAAUAGCAAAGGGACUUUGGGAAGGACAUAAAACAAGAAAAGGAAGCUCCUCACCAACAGCUCCCAGAUGGAGGGAGUUUGUGUGUCUAGCAUUUUCACCAAAGUGCUGCUCAUCCUGAUGCACAGAUGCAGAUUGGAGCUGCUGCCUGUGCCCUCACCAUGGGUAUGUACCCACCACAGGCAUUCCCAGGUGAUGCGGGGGCAGAGGAUUCCCUCUUUCCACUCAGGAUAACAACCCCUCGAUGGGGUUUUCAACAAGUAUAGAAAGCUCCUGGACUCAGCCAAGACCCUCACCUACAGUCCCAGUCCUCCCACCUUCUUCAGGUCUCUAGAAGACAGAACUGAUGGGUUUACAACAUCCUAUUAUCCAGCACUAGUCCUAGGUUGUGGAUGUAGGGAAAGGCCAGGUAAACAAGGAAGGGAGAACAGGUGAAUGACCCCAAUUGUUUGAAACCAAAAGAGCAGAAUUGCCCCUAAUUGAUUUAAGUAAACAGCAAGUAACAUAGGUCUGUUAAAUAGAAGAGGAUGUGAGCACCAGAUGCACGUGAUAAAGACCAUGCUCUGGAAGAUUCAUUCCAAGGAGUAGAAGUGGUAUUUACUCAGGGCAUUUAAGGAGAGCAGGGACUCUGAAAUGAGGUGAGAGAAAAGAUAAGACAUGCAGGAACAGCUGGCAACACCAAGAAAGAAUUUAAGGAGAGGGAUCUCUCUGUUAGAGAACUUAACAUUACCCUAGGAACAGCAAGAGCAUCAUCAGCCCCAGGAAAAUCUACCUCUGAUAUGGAGACCAGGCUUAAGAAAAUCCCCUAGAACCCAGAGAAAAAGUGCAAAACAAGGAAAAUGGCCAAAGAGAAUAUCAUAGAUACAGAGAUCAGACAAUGAGAAUCCAGAGUCUUGUUAAGUGAUAGAAGGAAAAUACUAACAGAACACAUGUAACAGGAACAACAUUUUAGAGGAAACAGGACAAAAACUUCCCUAAACUCAAGAUACUACACCAGAAGUGGGCAGUACUCACUAUGUUCAGGGGAACAAAAAGAUAAAAACUAAAAAGCAUCAGACUGUUUUUUGUGUGAAGGAAAUUUGUAAGGUAGGAGAAUUAGGUCACUUACUACAGCACAAAUUGCAUGUCUAUCUAAAUUGACGUUUAAGUGCAAAAGCAUGGAUAUUACUCAUGCAGUUUUACUGGAAAACCAUACAGAUGUUUUUCAGGAAUGUACAGAAUGAAUCAAAGGAAAUAACUGAUCGACAGGAAAACUGUAGGAAAUUUGUGGGCUGGCUGUGAGGCAGUGGCUCCUAUUAUGUACAAUUUUAGUGCUAAGUACUGUGUUAAUGAUGGCUAUCAAACAAUAUGUUAACAUCUGAAAGGAAAUAUGUAUAUUGAGCAUAAUAAAUAUUUUAUAAAUAACAAUAAAUCAUUUGAUUUU
rnacentral:lncRNA from 10 species